rnacentral:rRNA from 1 species
GAUAGCACCCAAGUCGGCGGUGUUUACGGUUUAGAGGAAGAAGGCGAAGAUAUUCUCGUCCACGUUGUGAGCCGUGAGCAAGCGUAUCAGUGGGUUGUUGAAGGCAAAAUUGAUAAUGUGAUUGCUGUUGUUGGAUUACAGUGGUUACAGUUGAAUUAUCAAAGGUAUAAAGAGCCACAUAGCCUUUCAGUACAACUGUAAUUUGAUUUCUAACCGUAUGGAUACAAUAAAUAUUCAAAGGGUAUAGUAGACAAAGUGGCUGCUAAUGAAUAUUUUUCAUUAAAGAGUGCAGAUAAUAUAGUAAAUUAAACCGUAAAAAGUGAUAUAGCCCACCAAUAAUCCUAUCUUUGCUACUAGCGGUUGCUUUUGAUGUAAUUUAUGCAGCAAGCCAGCAAUAGCCAAUAAAAUGAAAGGAUAAAUCCAAAAUGCGGUAGAAAACCAAUCAAUUUGACUUGGGCUAAGGUUAGGAUUUUCGCUUAAUGCAGGUGAUACAAGCAAUGCUAAUGGCCAUAAUGAACUGGGCAAACAAAAAAAUGCCAAUGCCCAACUAAAUUUUGAAAAACCUUGUUGCAUAUUAUCCUCUUGGGUGAAACUGUUGAUGCAGUGAUUUUAAACGAGUUUUCGCCACUUGGGUAUAAAUUUGUGUCGUAGACAGAUCACUAUGUCCAAGUAACAUCUGCACAACCCGUAAAUCUGCACCGUGAUUAACUAAAUGUGUUGCAAACGCGUGGCGUAAAACGUGUGGAGAGAGUUUAUUACUAUCAAUACCCGCCAACAACGCAUAAUGCUUAAUUCGAUGCCAAAAAGUUUGACGGGUCAUUUGAUUGCCUAAACGGCUAGGAAAAACCACAUCUGACUGCAUACCAUUAAGCAGUGAACUUCGCCCAUACUCAAAAAACUGUUGGAUCCAAUAACUCGCUUCUUCUCCUAAAGGCACUAAACGCUCUUUAUCACCUUUACCAAUGAUACGAACUAACCCUUGACGCAGGCUUAAGUUAUCCAGUGUUAGAGAAACGAGUUCUGUGACACGUAAACCUGUGGCAUAAAGUAGUUCUAACAUUGCUUUAUCACGCAAUUCUAAAGGAUCCUGAGUAUCUGGAAUAUUCAGUAAAUCCAGUACCUGCUCUUCACUCAAUGAUUUAGGUAAAUGGGCUGGUUUACGCGGAGAUGUAAGUGUUGCUGUUGGAUCAUCAUCUCGAUACUUUUCCAAAUAAAGGAAACGAAAAAACUUGCGCAAACAGCUCAACAUACGAGAUGAACUCGUUGCUUUAUAGCCUUGCUCCAGUCUUUCGCCCAAAAAGGUUUGUAGAUCAACAUAGUCUACUUUUAAAAAUGCAUUGGGUUCAGAAAGCCAUUGGGUAAAACUUUCUAAAUCUAGUCUAUAAGAGGCUACAGUAUUUUCUGAUAAUCCCUGCUCUUGCCAUAGAGUAUCAAGAAAUUGUUCAAUAAUAGGAUCAAGUGGUUUCAUAAUAACGAUAAAAUUAUCGUAAAAAUCUGCAAAAUUCUAACAUAAAAAUACCUUGGAAGGUCGACUGAAAUGAAAAAACCGAUUAGCAAAACUAAUCGGUUUAUUUGAAACAUGGCAGGGGCGGAGAGGCUCGAACUCCCAACACCCGGUUUUGGAGACCGGUGCUCUACCAAUUGAACUACGCCCCUAUAUAAUUAUUUACAUAUAGUUAAAGCGAGUAAUUUACUCGCUUAUAAAUAAGUGGCGGAACGGACGGGACUCGAACCCGCGACCCCCUGCGUGACAGGCAGGUAUUCUAACCAGCUGAACUACCGCUCCGCAAAUUGGGUACUUGGCAAUGCCCUACUCUCACAUGGGGAAUCCCCACACUACCAUCGGCGUAACUGCGUUUCACUUCUGAGUUCGGUAUGGAGUCAGGUGGGACCACAGCACUAUUGUUGCCAAGAAAUUCUUUUAUUAAGUUAGUUCACUAAUUUAAUGAACUAAGUUAAUAACCCCCCGACGAUGCUCUACUCUCACAUGGGGAAUCCCCACACUACCAUCGGCGUAACUGCGUUUCACUUCUGAGUUCGG